GUUCCAGACUCCUACGGGAGGCAGCAGUGGGGAAUAUUGCACAAUGGGGGGAACCCUGAUGCAGCGACGCCGCGUGGGUGAAGGAGUAUUUCGGUAUGUAAAGCCCUAUCAGCAGGGAAGAACAAUGACGGUACCUGACUAAGAAGCACCGGCUAAAUACGUGCCAGCAGCCGCGGUAAUACGUAUGGUGCAAGCGUUAUCCGGAUUUACUGGGUGUAAAGGGAGCGCAGGCGGCGCGUUAAGCCUGGUGUGAAAGCCCGCGGCCCAACCGCGGGACUGCAUUGGGAACUGGCGCGCUGGAGUGCCGGAGGGGUAGGCGGAAUUCCUAGUGUAGCGGUGAAAUGCGUAGAUAUUAGGAGGAACACCGGUGGCGAAGGCGGCCUGCUGGACUGUGACUGACGUUGAGGCCCGAAGGCGUGGGGAGCAAACAGGAUUAGAUACCCGAGUAUA
rnacentral:rRNA from 1 species